rnacentral:rRNA from 1 species
GACGAACGCUGGCGGCGUGCUUAACACAUGCAAGUCGAACGGAAAGGCCCUGCUUUUGUGGGGUGCUCGAGUGGCGAACGGGUGAGUAACACGUGAGUAACCUUCCCUUGACUUUGGGAUAACUUCAGGAAACUGGGGCUAAUACCGGAUAGGAGCUCCUGCUGCAUGGUGGGGGUUGGAAAGUUUCGGCGGUUGGGGAUGGACUCGCGGCUUAUCAGCUUGUUGGUGGGGUAGUGGCUUACCGAGGCUUUGACGGGUAGCCGGCCUGAGAGGGUGACCGGCCACAUUGGGACUGAGAUACGGCCCAGACUCCUACGGGAGGCAGCAGUGGGGAAUAUUGCACAAUGGGCGGAAGCCUGAUGCAGCAACGCCGCGUGCGGGAUGACGGCCUUCGGGUUGUAAACCGCUUUCGCCUGUGACGAAGCGUGAGUGACGGUAAUGGGUAAAGAAGCACCGGCUAACUACGUG